rnacentral:lncRNA from 1 species
UAUUGUCACGCUUUUCGUAUUUCCUUAACUUUCGAUUGCACUCUCUUUCUUUACCCACUCACUCACACACAUGCACGCAUUUAUUAUUUUCAGUAAAAAAUUGAAUAAGAAUUUGAUCAUUAUAAAAAAUUUCUCACUCUGUAACUCAUCUGAAAAUGGGCACUGGCGCAUCGAGAAAUCUCGAUAGUAGGUCGACAGCUCCCAUGGCAGUGAAGAGAGAGAUCAAGCCGGUGGUCAACUCUAUGUUUCUCUCAGAAUGGAAAAUUAUAAGCUCAAUGGUGAUAUCAUAUCCCAGGUGAUAUCAUAUCCCAUGUUUAUGGCUCGGUAUCACUCGUCGGCUCCUGGGACUCCUCUAAAGCCGUAAGUUUGUGUCAUAUUUCCCAAUUUUUCUUUGUAGUUUUAGUACUUCAAUUUAUUGGAAAAGUUAGAGUACAAUGAUUUUUUCAGUUUUGUAUAAGAUUGUGCAUUUUUAUUAAUAGAUGUUUCUGGGUUUAAAAUUAAGAACACUUUGCUGGCCUCAUUUAUUUUAUUACAAAUCAAUCAAUCACUCAACUUUUCUUUGUGUUUCCUACUUUAUCUUCUCAAAGUAAAAGAAUUCUAACAGAAUUGUUCCGGCGAAUCCAGCUAUGGCGGCCGCUUUAGCUCGUCACCACCUAGAUCCGCCUCUAGUUGGAUAGCAUAAAAAUGAUGAGGAUCCUUAGCCUGCAUCUGCUUCAUAUGUAGACCCCCACUUCCAAGGGUCCUUCGUUGGCUGCUGCUCAUGCAAUUUUGGCAAUCAAUCUUUGUGAAAUCAAUGUUAAUCCAAGAAGCUCGCUGUAUGAACCUUACCGCAUCCUCCGCGAAGCAUAUAUCAAUAUGUGAGUGAAAGGAAGACGUGAUAGAUCCGCAUAACAAAAACAAGAACUAGUCCUCUGUCCAGGCUGGUCAUGGGUUGUCAAGAUGUACAUAAACCGUGACAUUUGUAAUAGAAUUAGUUAUUAAUAAGCCAUUGAGGAGCCACCAUCUGUCAUCCUCUCAAAAUGACCAAAUUACCUUUAAGCAUUGGAGGAAAAUCUAUAAAUACCCCCAUUUGAAGAGAAAUGCAUGCAAUUUAAACAUCUCAGUCUCAAAUAGUCAUUUAUCUCUAGCUCCAGUUUAAGCAUCAAAACCAGUGGAAUUUAUUGGUGGAAGCUGUAGCUAGAUGAGAGGAUUUGUCGAUCAAAUUUCUAUCAUCAACAAAUUGACGUCGUCUAUAGGAAAUUCUGAACAAAGAAAACACAAAUUUCUCUAUCGAAAUUCAGAAAACAUUAGGAUCUGAAAGAUGAGUAAAAAGAUUUGGAAGUAAUCUAGGCAUUAAAUGUCGAAAUAGAGGAGAUUUAGUCAAAAGCGAUGCUAAUCCAAAGAGGAAGUGGGAGAAAAUGAAGGCAGGAUCUCAGGCGGAUAUUUCUCCUAUUAAACUCUAUCAUUAGCAGAAAGAAAUGCAUACUGCAGAAGCGAUCUAUGAGAUGGCAGAUAACUUAAAGGUAUUUGGCAGUGAAAAAUGCAUAUCCUCACGCAAAGUAUGAGAAUCCAAGUUGAAGUUGGCAACACUAAGGCUAGUAGAAAAAUCAGAGUUUGAUGCCAGUUUUGUUGCAAAGAACAAUAGCGAUUUCCAGAUGUCAAGGAGUUAUGGUGUUGCUCUAGCAGAAAGGUGGAAAAAAUGGCAAAGUAGCAAGUCCUGUAUAAAUGGAUUGCUGAACAAGGUAAACUUGAAUGCCUGAAAGUGUAACCUUGAAGGAAACGAAUGGUGGGGAACUGUAGCAGUUCCUAUGAUGUAAGUACGUAGUAGAGACCUGAAUACCAAUCUGCGAUAGAGCAAAUAUGAAAAGAAGUGUGUGAUGUAUUAGUUUUCAACUAAUUCAACCAGUGAUUAGCUUUCUCAUCAACAAGUAGGCUUCGAAAUAAAACAGCUUGAUACGAGGUUAAAUAGUAUCAAGCAAAGGGAAGGAAAGUCGCUUAAGAGUUACUAUCGUUCUCACAAGGAAUAAGGUCUAAUAUCUAGUUCAAUAACUUUUAUCAAAUUCAAAGUGUAGUGACAUCAAAAGAGUUGUGAUAUGUUUGUUAUUUAUUCUAAUUCUUCUCUAAAAAAGUGAUUAAAU